rnacentral:misc_RNA from 1 species
GGAAAGGGUAUGGAACUCUAAUCCUAUAUAAAAGUGUUAACAAAACAAACGAGGAUCAGUAAGCAACAAAAAAUGAAAUUCAUAAUGUCGUAUUUAUAUAAUAUAUACACGUAAGAAAGCAACCGACAAUAUAACGUAAUGCCAUCAACAGAGUAUAUCAGCACUAUCCUUCUAGAUAACUAUAACAGAAUGCUUGUUUAGGUAGUCAAUCCAAGCAACAAUAACCACAACUCAUCCAUAUACAGUGUUAA